rnacentral:lncRNA from 1 species
UCCUCCACUAUUCAACUUUAAGCAGGAAGUAAGUGAUUCUAGGACAGAAAUGUUUCCCAUUGUGUCCCUAAUUAUUAGUCCUUUUUGAAAUCUUGAUUACAUAUGAAAAAUUAUGUCAAUUGGCCACAGGAAAAUAGUGUUAAUACAUUCACUGUAUACUUCAUUUUGGUGGCAUUUUACUGACACACGAAUACAUGAUAUGCAUUAGUGGUAAAAUCACAUGCACCGAACAUGUCUUGCAAUGUUAUAUGUUGCCUGUUAUGCAUUGUGCCCUGCUUUUUUGCAACAGCAUGGUUCAUUAUAUAUGAGUGCUGCUUUCUUUCUAGAUAGCAUGCCUGAAUGAACACACUGCUAGCAUAGUAGGCCAAUUCUUCAGGUGGUGAUAGCUAUUGGUGGCAUUCAUGGGGCCUGCAUUGUACAGUUUGGGUAAAUGGUAGGGUGGGUGAUGUCGAAGCCACAAGGGGGAUGAGAGAUGGGUUGUUGGUAACAUGACUAUCUGAAAAUAAGCGCUUUGGCUUUUUUAAGGGGGUGUUUGGUUUCUUUAGUUGCCCUACUAAACUUUAGAGACUAAACUUUAGUCCCUAGAGUUUCUCUUUGCAAGGAUUCAUUUAAUUAUACCGUUUGGCAAUUUAGGGACUAAAAGUGACUAAAAUUUAGAUACUAAAGUUUAGGAGGUGGGAACCAAACACCCCCAAGGCCUUGUUCGACUGUGUCUGGAUUGGAGUGGAUUGAGGGGGAUUAAUAAAUCCCCUUCUAUUCAAUUUUGACUAGAGAGGGAUUUAAUCCCCUCCAACCCCCUUCGAUCCAAACGCAACCGAACAAGCCCUAAGUGUGUUGGGCUGUGGCUGUAAGUUUACAGCUAGAUUAUGCACAAGAACCAAAAAACUUUGUGGGAAAUAAAGUGGACCAUAUAUUAUUAGUGAAGAGAUAACUACUCUAUGGAUGAAGUGCAAAGAUCCAUACAACCAGUAACAGGCUAUAUUAUUAGCCUUGUUCUUAGAUAAGGUGUAUAUAUAAGUUGUAUGAAAUGGAGGCGGCUAGGGUUAUUAACAUGGGGAAGGAGGAGUAGGCACUGUUGGAACAAGGAAACAGCCUCAUCUCCCCAAUAUGACUCCCCACCACAAUCCAAUCCCGGCCGCCCUUCAUUUCGUGAAGGCAGUUAAACUCAGUGGCGCGGUCACGUGUGUCUUGCAUGAUUACUUCCUUAUAAUCUCGACUGAUGCUUUCCUUUAAACCGCAUAGGUCCCUGAGCUAUAUAAUCAAAUUUGUUGUGUUCCUUUGCAACUAGCAAACGCACCACCGGAGCUUGUCAGCAGGCUAUUACCAGAGCAUGCUCAACGGCAUUCAGGAUUCGGUUCCUUAUUUGGGAGUGGACCGUAGCCCGUAGGAAAAUCUCGUUCUAAUGUUGGGCUGUUGUACGCUGUCAGAGGGCAAUCUGCAUAUCCCAAAUCUAAGUUUUAGAACCUGACCAUCUUGUCGAAAAGUUGCCAGCCUUAGAAAAAACCGAGGUGGCCUCUUGUGUCCAUGUUCUGCCAGUAGCGGCACAUUUCUGGGGGGAUGGUUAGGUGUAUUGUUAAGCACAGAGGGUAACUGACUGAGCUAAUGUAUUUUCACGUUUCAUGUCUGUAUCGAACUUGUACCUGUGUACUCUGU